rnacentral:rRNA from 1 species
CGCCACCUACGGGGCGCAGCAGUGGGGAAUAUUGCACAAUGGGGGGAACCCUGAUGCAGCGACGCCGCGUGGGCGAGGAAGUGUUUCGGUAUGUAAAUCCCUAUCGGCAGGGAAGAAGAAAUGACGGUACCUGAAUAAGAAGCACCGGCUAAAUACGUGCCAGCAGCCGCGGUAAUACGUAUGGUGCAAGCGUUAUCCGGACUUACUGGGCGUAAGGGGAGCGCAGGCGGCGCGCCAAGUCUGAUGUGAAACCCCGGGGCUCAACCCCGGGCAUGCAUUGGAAACUGGCGGGCUGGCGUGCCGGG